CUCAAAGUAUGCGGGAAAACUAUAAUGCUUUGUUUUACUCACCAGCAACUGAUAGAAGAAUGCCAGUAUGUCUGAAAUGUCUGUUUUUAAUCUAGGAAGUUGUGUUGUUGUUGUUUUAAACAGUAGCAGGACAGACACGGCCAUCGGGUGCGGAUUGUGAUAAAGUCCAAAUUCUGCAGAGCUUCGUACACGUGGGUCUGGAUUCUGCAAAACUGCUUUGGGAAGCUUUGAAGAUAGGAAAUGAAGCAAGGUUUGCCUCAAAGAGCACAAAUAAUAUUUUCCUCAUGAUAUUUUGGUAAAAUCUGAGUCUCCGGAUCAAGGGAAUUCUGAACUGUGAUGCCAGGAAUGGAGGCCAAGAGAAACAACUUUCACGUGGUGAAAAAUGGUUUGAAAGGUUUCAGCAGCAGUCUAGAGAAUGAUCAGAAAGGUAAGCAGUGUAGAUGGACAAUUUGGAAAUAAAUUUGGAAGAACAAAUUAGACUGUCUUAAGCAUCUGGAUUUGGGUAUUACAAAUAAUUACAAAUUAUGUGGUUAUAUUUUCAAAUAUAAGUCCCUGUUUUGAAAAG
rnacentral:lncRNA from 1 species